UGGGGAAUUUUGCACAAUGGGGGAAACCCUGAUGCAGCGACGCCGCGUGAUUUAGAAGGCCUUCGGGUUGUAAAAAUCUUUUCUAUGGGAAGAAAAUGACAGUACCAUAGGAAUAAGGACCGGCUAAUUACGUGCCAGCAGCCGCGGUAAUACGUAAGGUCCGAGCGUUGUCCGGAAUCAUUGGGCGUAAAGGGUACGUAGGCGGGUAAGCAAGUUAGAAGUGAAUUCCUAUAGCUCAACUAUAGUAAGCUUUUAAAACUGCUCAUCUUGGGGUAUAGAAGGGAAAGGGGAGUUCCUAGUGUAGCGGUGAGGUGCACAGCUAAUAGGAGGAAUACAGGUGGAGAGGGCAACUUACUGGCCAUGACCUGACGCUGAGGUACGAAAGCGUGGGUAGCAAACAGG
rnacentral:rRNA from 1 species